GCGUAAGAACCUACCAAAAAUUCUUGGAGAUCAGGAAUAAAGAAAGAUAUGUGUAUCGUUUUUGAUGGGCUUGCGUAAGAUUAGAUUGUUGGUGGGGAAAUGGCUCACCAAGUCGAUGAUCUUUUACUGGUCUUAGCGGAUGGCCAGUCACACUGGGACUGAGAUACGGCCCAGACUCUCUUUGGAGGCAGCAGUGAGGAAUCUUGGACAAUGGGCGCAAGCUUGAUCCAGCUAUUUCGCGUGGGUGAUGAAGGUUAUUUGGAUCGUAAAACCCUUUCAUGAAGAUGAUUAAAUAAUGCC
rnacentral:rRNA from 1 species